AACGAACGCUGGCGGCAGGCUAAACACAUGCAAGUCGAGCGCCCCGCAAGGGGAGCGGCAGACGGGUGAGUAACGCGUGGGAAUCUACCCAUCUCUACGGAAUAACGCAUGGAAACGUGUGCUAAUACCGUAUACGUCCUUCGGGAGAAAGAUUUAUCGGAGAUGGAUGAGCCCGCGGUGGAUUAGCUAGUUGGUGGGGUAAAGGCCUACCAAGGCGACGAUCCAUAGCUGGUCUGAGAGGAUGAUCAGCCACACUGGGACUGAGACACGGCCCAGACUCCUACGGGAGGCAGCAGUGGGGAAUAUUGGACAAUGGGCGCAAGCCUGCUCCAGCCAUGCCGCGUGAGUGAUGAAGGCCCUAGGGUUGUAAAGCUCUUUCACCGGUGAAGAUAAUGACGGUAACCGGAGAAGAAGCCCCGGCUAACUUCGUGCCAGCCGCCGCGGUAACAC
rnacentral:rRNA from 1 species